UGCCAGCAGCCGCGGUAAUACGGAGGGUGCGAGCGUUGUCCGGAUUUAUUGGGUUUAAAGGGUGCGUAGGCGGGAUCUUAAGUCAGUGGUGAAAUACUUCGGCUCAACCGGAGAGGUGCCAUUGAAACUGGGAUUCUUGAGUACAGACGAGGUAGGCGGAAUUUAUGGUGUAGCGGUGAAAUGCAUAGAUACCAUAAAGAACACCGAUAGCGAAGGCAGCUUACUAGACUGUAACUGACGCUGAGGCACGAAAGCGUGGGGAGCGAACAGGAUUAGAUA
rnacentral:rRNA from 1 species